AGUAAAGCGGCGAACGGGUGAGUAACACGUAACUAACCUACCCCCAGGACGGGCACAACUCCGGGAAACCGGGGCUAAUACCCGAUGGCAUCGCUUGCUCAUAAGGGUGAGCGAUUAAAGAGGCUUCGGCCUCGCCUGAGGAGGGGGUUGCGGCCUAUCAGCUAGACGGUGAGGUAACGGCCCACCGUGGCGAUGACGGGUAGGGGGCCUGAGAAGGUGGCCCUCCACAUGGGGACUGAGAUACGGCCCUGACUCCUACGGGAGGCAGCAGUAGGGAAUCUUCGGCAAUGGGCGAAAGCCUGACCGAGCGACGCCGCGUGGGGGAGGAAGGCCUUCCGGGUCGUAAACCCCUUUUCUGGGGGAAGAAUAAGCGUCGGAGGUA
rnacentral:rRNA from 1 species